CUAGGAAUAUUGGUCAAUGGGGGGAACCCUGAACCAGCGACGCCGCGUGAGGGAAGAAGGUAUUCGUAUUGUAAACCUCUGUCUUUGGGGAAGAAGAAAUGACGGUACCCAAGGAGGAAGCCACGGCUAACUACGUGCCAGCAGCCGCGGUAAUACGUAGGUGGCAAGCGUUGUCCGGAAUUACUGGGUGUAAAGGGAGUGUAGGCGGGUCAGCAAGUUAAAUGUGAAAUACAUGGGCUCAACUCAUGUGCUGCGUUUAAAACUGCUGGUCUUGAGUGAAGUAGAGGCAGGCGGAAUUCCUAGUGUAGCGGUGAAAUGCGUAGAUAUUAGGAGGAACACCAGUGGCGAAGGCGGCCUGCUGGGCUUUAACUGACGCUGAGGCUCGAAAGCAUGGGUAGCAAACA
rnacentral:rRNA from 1 species